CCUACGGGAGACAGCAGUGGGGAAUAUUGCGCAAUGGGCGAAAGCCUGACGCAGCGACGCCGCGUGAGGGAUGAAGGUCUUCGGAUCGUAAACCUCUGUCGGCAGGGAAGAACGGUCACUGUGCUAAUCAGCAGUGAAUUGACGGUACCUACUUAGGAAGCACCGGCUAACUCCGUGCCAGCAGCCGCGGUAAUACGGAGGGUGCGAGCGUUAAUCGGAAUUACUGGGCGUAAAGCGCUCGUAGGCGGUAUGUCAAGUCAAGUGUGAAAUCCCCGGGCUCAACGUGGGAAUUGCCUUUGAAACUGGUAAACUGGAGUGUGUGAGAGGAUAGUGGAAUUCCAGGUGUAGGAGUGAAAUCCGUAGAUAUAUGGAGGAACAUCAGUGGCGAAGGCGACUCUCUGGCACAUAACUGACGCUGAGGAGCGAAAGCGUGGGUAGCAAACAGGAUUAGAUACCCCAGUAGUC
rnacentral:rRNA from 1 species